GUUGUUUGGCCGAGUGGUUAAGGUAUGCUCCGUUUCCCCGCAGCGAGAGUUCGAAUCUCUCAAGCUACA
rnacentral:sRNA from 1 species